rnacentral:rRNA from 1 species
CCUACGGGGGGCUGCAGUAAGGAAUAUUGGUCAAUGGGCGCAAGCCUGAACCAGCCAUGCCGCGUGCAGGAAGACGGCCCUAUGGGUUGUAAACUGCUUUUGUCAGGGAAUAAACCCCCGCUCGUGAGCGGGGCUGAAGGUACCUGAAGAAUAAGCAUCGGCUAACUCCGUGCCAGCAGCCGCGGUAAUACGGAGGAUGCAAGCGUUAUCCGGAUUCAUUGGGUUUAAAGGGUGCGCAGGCGGAUUGGUAAGUCAGGGGUGAAAUCCCACAGCUCAACUGUGGAACUGCCUUUGAUACUGUCAGUCUAGAGUAUAGUUGAAGUUGGCGGAAUGUGUCAUGUAGCGGUGAAAUGCUUAGAUAUGACACAGAACACCGAUCGCGAAGGCAGCUAGCUAAGCUAUAACUGACGCUCAUGCACGAAAGCGUGGGGAUCAAACAGGAUUAGAUACCCCGGUAGUC